AUGAAUUCAUUCAACUGUAUCCAUGGUGAGCACCAAGACAAAUGGAUUGAAAUGGAAAUGGUGCUACGUCAGUACCAGCUCUAUGCUUUUGCCACAUUUUCACUCUGCCAGCCUUCAAAUAAAGGCCUACAAUCUUCAGCCCCCUGCCCAUAUAGAAUUUGGCAUAGAAUGAGCGUGCUGCAUCUGUGUACGUGUAUUGGGAAACUUAAGUACGGUAUCAAGGAUGAAAUAAAAAGAAAGAAAGAGAGAAAAAAAGAACUUGAGAUGCCUCAACAUGUAUUUAAGAGCAUGUGGCCCAUCCCAAAAUGCUAACUUAAUCCAUAAAUCUUCUGGUCUAACCACAGAAAUUAUUUGAAAUUGCCCUGCAUGCAUCAAAUAGACAAGUGUUCCUGACAUUUGGCCUGGUUUUAAAUGGGGACACGUUUUCAGGGCUCCUUGUUCUAAAUUUUCGGGUGGAGAAGCCAGGUGAAUAUCUGCAUCUAAUUUGUAGCAGCCAUCCCUGUUGAAAAAAAAAAAAAAAAAUGCUGUUUUAAGCUCGUCUUCCAGCCUGUCCAGUUAAAGUGCCCAAAACCACUCUAAAAUCAGCCAACAGACGGACCUGAACAGGCUAGGAGGCCAACUAUGACCAGCAAACUGGCCUAAUAUGAUUUAAAAAGCCUUGUUUUCAGCACGAAUAACUAAAUAAUGUGAUAUUGCCAAAUAUCAGUAAUUGAGGAGAGUGGAGCAAUUAUGGCGUGGAAGUUUUCUGUUACCUAAGAUUUUAAAAGUAUCACCAUUAAAUGUGAAUCUUGAGAUUUCAGAAAGAUGAUAAGUUUCAGAUUCAUCUUUAAAUGACUUGGGUCCUCACAUAAAGAGCAAUAGAUUUAAACAGAGUUUAAAAGCAUAUUAGUAAACCAACAACCCUUAAAAUAACAUUAAAAAGCAUGGCAAAAUAAUUGCUGGAAAAAAUAAUUGCAGAUUACAUCUUUUCUUGAUUAAACCACAAUAGUUAUUUUCCUUAAAUAAAUAACUUCUGUUAUGUAAAGACACUUUUGAAACUGUUGACGUACACUCAACUCCCAAUGUCCUUUUCUACUAGUCCACAUCCUUCUCAUACGUCUUGCAUCGGGCUACUGUGUCUUUGUUUCUGACAAUCUUCAAAAUCGAUGUCACUUAUUGUUUCUUAAGAGAUUUAGAAGUCUUUUUUUUUCUUUGUUUAA
rnacentral:lncRNA from 12 species